AUUUAACUGCCGAUAAUAAUAAUUUCUAUAAUAACAAAAAUCUCCUCUAAAGGCUUUUAACCUCUCACUUACUGAGCUGACACCGCUGUACUGUUACUGCUAACGCUGCUGAACUGUCAAAAAAAUAAUAAUAAGCUUAUAUUGCCUCUGGAAUUGAACUCUUUUUAUAUAUACACACACAAAAGCACUCAUCCGCUCUUUUUUUUACAAUAAUAAUUAGAUUUAGUUACCUAGAAGAGUCGAGAACAAAAUAUAAUAAUAGACUGAUGAACGAGAUCGAUUUGCACCGUUUCACGUUACGAGAUCAUCAUCAGGGAUCAGGCAAAUGACGAUGCUGAUUCUUAGGACGAUCCUUAGAUGCGAGCGAGACAAUGAACUAUUCAGUGAUUAAGUGAAGUGAGGAGGUUGAAGUGGCGGCACCAGAUCCGGAUCCGGGAGUUCAGAUGAUCAUUUCCUGUUUUAUGCCUCACUCAGUCGAUACUUCUCUCAGGCAACCGUCCAGGUUGCUCAUCAGAGACGGCGGUGGAGUAGAGACAGGAGGUGUCAUUGUUGGCGGGGGCGGCGGAGGCGGCGGCGGUGUUGCAGGUGGCGGCGGCGGCGGCGGUAGUGGUCCUCCAAGCGGUGAAGAACCGCGCGUGCCGCCCGUGUCGCGUCGCGCUCCCAGUUUGCGGUUGGCGAACGGUCGGGUGGCGACCGCGCGAUCCGAGGAGGAAAUCCGAUCGCCGCCCCCGCGCCGCCUCGCCAAAGAUGACUCGAUCAAGAUCAGCAUCGAGAACACCAACACGUGCACCGACUCUUUAGUUACCGCCCUCGACGAUGAAACCCUACUGAUUGCCGAUUGUUUAUCCAACGAUAUGAAUUAUAAAGGUAGCGGUAAAGUCCAUUUCGGCGUAGACGACAUGUCGCUCUACGGUACCCCCAAGGAGGAACCGGGUCCGAUCCCGAUGGGCUGCGUGGAAACCGGGAAACAAAGUUUCAUCAAAAAUCAACUGCAGGCCCUUUUCCAGCCGACCGAUAACAAGUUGGCGAUGAAACUAUUCGGCUCGAAAAAGGCCCUGAUGAAGGAACGGAUACGACAAAAAGCGUCCGGCCAUUGGGUGAUACAUCCCUGUUCCAGUUUUAGAUUUUAUUGGGAUUUAUGUAUGUUGCUGUUACUAGUUGCCAAUCUGAUAAUCUUGCCAGUUGCCAUAAGUUUCUUUAACGACGAUUUGAGCACCCGCUGGAUUGCCUUCAAUUGUUUAUCGGACACGAUAUUCCUUAUCGACAUCGUAGUUAAUUUUAGAACAGGUAUAAUGCAGCAAGACAACGCAGAACAAGUCAUCUUAGAUCCACGACUAAUCGCCAGGCAUUAUCUACGCACGUGGUUCUUCCUGGACCUUAUCUCAUCCAUUCCAUUAGACUAUAUGUUUUUAAUUUUUAACCAAUUCCAGGAUUAUGGAGAUAGUUUUCAAUUUCUACACGCAGGCAGGGCAUUGAGGAUACUAAGAUUGGCCAAACUGCUCUCUCUCGUACGUCUUUUAAGGUUAUCCCGUUUGGUGCGUUACGUCAGCCAAUGGGAGGAAGUUUACAUCUUGCAGAACCUUCAAAAAAAACGAACGGAACGCCGUGGUCGUUACAGUUCCGAUCUGAACAAGCCGAGCACGAAAAGCAACCUCAUUUUCAAGUUUUUGAAUAUGGCGAGUGUCUUUAUGCGGAUAUUUAAUCUGAUUUGUAUGAUGAUGCUGAUCGGGCACUGGUCGGGGUGUUUGCAGUUUUUAGUUCCUAUGUUGCAAGGGUUUCCCGCCAAUUCUUGGGUGGCGAUUAACGAAUUACAGGAAGCUUAUUGGUUAGAACAGUACUCCUGGGCACUAUUUAAAGCGAUGUCGCACAUGUUAUGUAUAGGAUACGGCAGAUUCCCCCCACAAUCUUUGACAGAUAUGUGGCUCACGAUGUUAUCCAUGAUUUCUGGAGCGACCUGCUACGCUCUAUUCCUCGGACACGCGACCAAUUUAAUCCAGAGUCUGGACUCGUCCAGGAGACAAUAUCGGGAAAAGGUAAAACAAGUGGAGGAGUACAUGGCCUACAGGAAAUUGCCGCGAGAUAUGCGACAAAGGAUAACCGAGUACUUCGAGCAUCGGUACCAAGGGAAGUUCUUCGAUGAGGACGUGAUUUUGGGUGAACUCUCGGAGAAGUUGAGAGAGGACGUUAUCAAUUACAAUUGUCGCUCCUUAGUGGCUUCAGUGCCGUUUUUCACUAAUGCCGAUUCGAAUUUUGUCUCCGAUGUGGUUACUAAGUUAAAAUAUGAAGUCUUCCAACCAGGUGAUAUAAUAAUUAAGGAGGGCACCAUCGGCAACAAAAUGUACUUCAUUCAAGAAGGGAUCGUGGACAUCGUGAUGGCAAACGGAGAAGUUGCGACCAGUUUGAGCGAUGGGUCGUACUUCGGCGAGAUUUGUCUCUUAACCAAUGCACGACGCGUUGCGUCGGUACGUGCAGAAACGUACUGCAACUUGUUCUCUUUAUCAGUGGAUCAUUUCAAUGCAGUCCUGGACCAGUACCCGCUCAUGCGCCGCACCAUGGAGUCGGUCGCGGCGGAGAGGUCAGUGCGUUGGUUAAACAAAAUAGGCAAAACCGCCAACCUACUAUCCCACAAAGAAGAAGGCGACCUGGGCAGCGAAAGUAAAACCUUAAACGCAGUGGUGAACGCCCUGGCAGCCGAAGCAGACAACGUGAACAUGUCCAGAGAAUCUCUGGAAACGAAAUCGCCCACGCUACUACACCGGGAUGAUUCCGCUCUGGAUGUGAACUCGCAUAGCAUAAAGAACGCUCUGCCCCGCCCGAAAUCCGAGAACAAUAUCAUGUUGCCUUACGGAUGGUUGAUAAACAGCUCCGGAGAUCGGUCGUUUCAUAAAUCCGAUACAAUUCACAAGAAUCACAUGCAAUGACGACACUCGACGCACUAAUGUCGUUGUAGCACGCCGGGUCGAUUUUGUGAUAAACGGGCUUUGGUCGUUUAAUAAAAAAAAAAAAAAAGAGGUGAGAUUCUCCGGGGUGUUUCUUUUUUUUAUGGUUAGUUUGGUGUAAAUUUGUUGAGAAACUUCGUAUUCCUAGUGUAGCUGUUCAGCUUAACGACAAUUAUUAUUAUUAGUACACUAACUACGCUUUAGGCUGUGACACUUAUAUAUUAGAUUUAUAUUUCUUAUACAGUUUAUAGUAAUAGGGCGUGUGCUCUAAGCUUUUAAGAAAUUUGACUUUUUCUUUGAGAAUUUUAUGAAUUUCUUAGGGACUAUUCAAGUUUGGAAAGUACCAGCUGGAUCAGGAUAUAAAAGGGAUUUAUAACCUAAGAAUAUGAAUUUUUCAAGAAGUCAUUAUUAACGAAAUUAGGAGUUUGGGUUGGACCUUCUUGGGUUAGGUUCAUUAUUGCUUGUCUUGUAUGGCUUGUAAAAAAUUCGGUUGUAUGCCAUUUUAAAGGCAAAUGAUGCACCUUUUUUCAUAAACUGCGGCUUCAAUUAAUUUUAGUUUUUCACUCACAUGUGUUCUCUCAUAAUAACUUCUUGAAAAAGUAUACAGUUCUUAAGCUCAUUUGGACUUUAUAGUGCUAUAAAUUUCAAGUCAUUCAAGGGUUUCCAAUUUGAGUUCUCAUAGAAAACAGGGAUUCGACCCAUUUUUUACAAAUUAUAGAUUUAUCAUGCGCAAUGUAUCGAAACGUUCUGAAUUAUAAGAUUUUGCCAUUCCAUAUAAAUAUAUACUAAAUAUUAAAAUUUUAUUUUUUAAAAGUAUGCACUUUUUAGUUGGACAGCACGUAAUUUGGUCGUGACUAAAUUAAAUAAAUUGAGUUUUAAAAGAGAGAAAUUGGGUUUUUCCAAGAUUUUUCCAGCACAGGAUCUGAGCUUUCGUUUCCUUGAACUUUUAUUUUGACUAUUAUUAUCUUUUUAUUAACUAUUCAUAGUUUCGUCAAUAUUAUUGUGUUAUUUUAGUAAAAAUAGCUCUUAUGCACCGUUUGCCUAAAAUGUAAAUUUUCUGAUAAUGUUGUUUGCUCAUAUUUGAGGUUAUAGAUGCUAUUUCUCAAAAAUUGCCUAAACACCCAGAUUCAGCUACUUUUCCCAAAAUUCCUCCCUCCAUUCACCAUUUUAAAAUUGGUGAAUAUCGAAGUUUUGUGUAGUAAUUAAAAGAUUCAAAAUCCCUUAGAUGAGUUGGAAGAAUUUUUUUUUCAAACCUAUUCACCCAUUUUGAAUUUAUUAAAUUUAAAAAAAAAAACGUUAAUUUCUAUCAAAUAUUUAAAAUUAAAAAAAAAACAGUGUUUUCAAUUUCUUCAGUUUUACCAUUUUGAAUUUUAAAAACUUCGAAUUCUUGUUAAAAAAAAUGUUCAUCUAUUUGUUAGUUUGUGAAUUUUUUUCGAUCCCUAUUACUUCUGGCAGUACAAUCGAAUAUUUUCCAAAAAUUUUUCAUUUUAAUGAUUGCAUUUUUUUAAUUGCCAUGCAUUUAAAUUCAAAAUCUUUAAUUAAAUUGUAAUUAUUAUUAUUUUCAAAAAUUGCCUGUAGAUUUAAUUUUCGUUAUUAUAAUUUAUUAUAUUACAAACUUUCAAAAGUCUUAUAUAUUAAUCGUUACUUUAAAAUCUGGCAAAGGGAUUUUAAUAUGUUUGAGGCGCCCAAUUCCAAAACUCUUUAGAUCCCUGCUAACCAAUUUUACAGGAGAAGAGAAAAACUUUUGAAAUUUAAACCACAUUUUAAACCACAAAUUUUUGUGGUUUAAAAUGAAAAUACACAUAUAUGACAACUGUUUAUUUAAAUACUUAUUACUAAGUAGUAAAUUUUUGUUUAAAAGAAGUAGUUAUGGACAAAAAUAUUAGGGAUAUAACAAGUUUUGCUACCGCACUAUGGAACUAAAAAGUUUUGUUUCAGUAUCUGUAGGAUUUAGGGAGUUUUAAAUAAGUAAAAGCUGAUAAUUUAAAAACAAUUUUUUUUUAAAUGAAACUUAAAAAUUAAAUUCUUAGUCCAUCGUCUUCUUCCAUGGGUUCCAUUCCUUCUUCUUCUUCUUCUUCAACUUUUGUAUCAUGAAGUGAUUCAAUGGCGUUGUCAAUUACUUUUUUAUAAAAUGUUUAAUCGACCUCUUCAAUGUUUCUCCACUCUAAACCAAAAUGUUUUUUUAAUAAAGCAUCCACAUCCUUAAGCUUGGCUAGUUUUACUGCACAUUCCUUAGGAAGAGGCUCCAAAUUUAAGGUAGCCAAGGUUUUUCCUUUUUUCAAAACGGACUUGUAUAUCCCGAAAUCGCUUUUGUAAUUUACUUCCCCCUUUACGAACACUGCUUGAGUUCCUUUUGAGUUCCAUUUCUUUAAAAUUAAAAUUCUUUUACAUGGAGCAAACUUAAAAUGCCACUGCCCAGGUGGCUUUAUAACCGAUUCUAUAGCUUUUUUCCAGUUAAACAUUUGACAUCUUUUUCGAUAUCAAGCACAGUUGAAAACUCGGAAAAAAAUUUCCUGUAAUAAAACUAUAACUUCCUUUUUUUUAACUCUUUUUUCAAUUCGUCCGAAAACACGAUCCGCCGGUAAAAAAGAGUGACCAACGACAGGAAAUGUCACAAUAAUUUCAUUCACUGUAGAGUUAGAGUGAUACAGCCAAUACAUCAGCAUACCCAUCAUUGUUACGUUCUUGUUCUGGCCAGGACACCCAUCGCAAAAAAGUUUGAUUGAGGUAACAUCAGUCAAGUCUACCAUAGAAAGUUUAUUAUUAACUAGUGAAGAUAUUUCAUUUGAGCCCUUAGCGCACACAUUCUCGGUCCAAGUGUAUGAAGUGAUACUUUUCUUAGUCUGUUUGUCAUUUAGAAUUAGCUUUGCCUUAUUAUCCCUGUUGGUUUCGGCAGUUAUUAAGCUUUUAAGUCUUAUACAUUCCGAGCAAGCAUCGGUGGCAGGACUCUUGAAGCUAAUAUUAAAAUCCCUUGUAAAUACUUCCCGGAAAUAGUCAUAUUUUACAGCCAAUCUGUUUUCAUCACAGUAUAUUUUCCACAACUGCCUUUUGGAUAGAUCACUUGGCAUAUACUGACGUAGAGAUUUAUUCCUAGUGUAGUGAGACUGAACACAUUUUAACUUUAAGAUAAAUGCUUUUACAUUUUCUCUUCUUUCGGCAUAUUUUGUGCUUAUCCUAUCCCCUCCUCUAUUUUAUUUGGGUGGUAUAGUGUCAAUCAAAUAAUUCUUAGCUAUAGUUUGCACCCGAAACCUUGAAAUGUCCAAAAUAGAUUAAAAGGCUUUACUGCAAAUCUGGAAAGUGCCAUCUUUAGUUUUAAUGAAACGGAAUUAUUUCGAGUUCCUUUUAUUGGACGGCGCCUUUUUGGAACAAUUGGUUCUGUAUGUUUAAGAAUAAAGUUAUCUUGCGCAAUUUUCGUAGUAUUUUCACAGAAUUUUUCAUGAAAUCUUCGAAUAUCUUGCAUUGACAAGUUUUCACAUGCAAAAGUACUUUUUUAUGAUGACAUUUGGGGUGUCUAGGUAGAGUUUUAGGCUUAUACCUGCAAUAAAAAAAUAUUUUAAGUACCUACCUACCUAACUAUUAAAAAUUUAUUUAAAAUAUUACCUUUGAACUUUAUCUUUUGCUUUCUUCCAGUUUGAUGGAUUUCGCAAUUUCUUUCGGCCUUUACCAGGUGUAGCAAGACAAAAUGAGUCUUCCAUAUCACAAUGUGUGUAAGACUCUUUAUAUUAACAAAUUUUUAACAAAAACAGCACAACGUACAAACAAAAUCGAUGUACCUAUUCAUACCGCAGUCAAAACAAAACUAAACCAUAAAAAUAUUAUUUGUGGAACACAUGCCUGUAAGAUCUCGCGGAACAAAACAGUUUUGAUUCCGCGUAUUAUUACUGUGGUAUAAGUGUAAAUGGAAGAAAAGAGUUUUGAAAACGUUGCAGAUUAAUGGAUUAAGACACGCUUGAAACAUUAUUUACAUAGGAUUAAAAAAGUUUUGCUACCGUUACUACUAAGGCAAUUUCUUUGGGAUUUAUCAAGUUUUGAGGCCAAAUAAAUUUGACAUCUUAUGUCAAACGUCUUAAAGAAGACAGCGCCAUACAUAUGUCAUUUUUGAAUAAAAACGGAUUUAAGCAGUUUUGCAACUGAACCCUCGUUUCUACUUUAAACUAUUAUUAAAUUUGAAGAAAAUCCUUAAUUUUUAAAAUUCUUUUUCAAGUUCUUCCAUUGUGCUAACUUUUAAGGUUUCUGGUCUAGAAUAAUGUUUUUACUCUUUAAUCCUCAGGCAUUCUAUUAUGUUACUGUAAAAAAAUUACUAAAAUAUUUUCAGCAGUUCCCAUGUCCACUAAUGUAUGAAAAUCUCAGAUAGAAGAAACGUUUUAGUAUGGAAUUAUUGCAAAAGAAACACAUUUUCUUAUACAAAAGCCCUUUUAAGACAUUGCCAAUUAUUUCUUAAGCAUAUUUACUAUGAAAAUUGACCAAAAAAGUGCCUCAACCAAAGGUGUCCUAAGUUUCAAAACUUUCUGUCCAGAAGGAUGUUUUUUCUCUCAAAUUUAUCCUUGAAAAUUUGAUUUUAUUACUGUAAAAAAAUUAUCAAAAUCUUCACAUUGGUUCCUAAAUUAUACCCAAAAAUGUCUCCAUUAAUGCACAAAUAUCUUCAUGUUGCAAUGUGAAUUACAACUACAAAUUUGGCGGCUUUUGGACCCUGAUGGAUAAAAUUGCGUCUUACUCAGGAAGUGUUUGAGGUACAAAAAACGUUUUAGUAUAAAAUUAUUCUAAACGAAUAACAUUGCCUUGGACAAAAGCCUUUUUAAGAGAUUUCCAAUUAUUUCUCAAAAAUAUUAAAAAUUUACUAUGAAAAUUGACAAAAAAAAAUUUCUUCAACUAAAGGUGCCCUAAGUUAAUUUUUUGUCCAGAACGACGUUUUUACCCUUAAAUUCAUCCUCAAGAUGCCAUUUUAUUACUAUAAAAAAAUGAUGCAAAUAUUCACAUUGGUUCCUAAGUUACACCGAAAAAUGUCCAUUAAUGCACAAAUAUCUUGAUGAUGUUGCAAUAUGAGUUAAAAAAAUUCAAUUUUUGACCACAUUAGAUUUCUCAACUUUGAUUUUUCAACAUGGGUCAAAAACUUUAAAAUCUCGAUUUCUGGAUAGUAAUCAAUGACUUUACAGUCUCCUAAAUGACUUUUAAAAACACCGACUUUUUUUUAAAUUUAUCCAUUUCCAGAAACCUUUAACUCAUAAAAUGGAUAAAUGAGUUAUAAUUGAAUUUAAGAGAAUUCUUUAAAUUUGAAAACUCAUCUCCUUCAUCAAUCUAUAUAAUAUUGCUCAAUCAUCAAUAAAUUUCGACCAACACAAUUUAACAAUACCUGAAUAUUAUCUGAAAGAAACUAACAUUUAGAAAAUUUUAAUUAUUUUUUAAAUAUUAUAUGGUUGGUUUGUUUAUAGCAAAAUUCUCAAAUUUUUUAAAUUUAUCGUAAAAUUGCUAAAGUAAUUUUGAUAGUCCAGGUUUUCUAUUAAAUUUAUUCUAAGCAAGCUUUUCUGGAAAUAGAAUUUAUUGGGAAAUUAUGUCUCUAUGAACUCUGUUGUGCAUCCUCUAAAACAAACUUGAAUUAGAACAAUUAAAUUCCAAAUAUAGAAUUUCACUCUAUUAAUCAAUGGUCAUUUAAUACGUCCAUCCAUAGUAAUUUUUUUUGCCAAAAAACAAAUAAAUUUAUAUCCAAGCAAACAAUUCUACCCUAUUGCAUAGUCUAUUAGUAGUGGCUCAUAUGUUUUUUAAGCCAAACAAUGAGAACUUGGCAAAAACAUUAAAUAUUUCAUAAAAUUUUUCAAGAUUUCAUAAAAUCUUGGUAAAUUGAAUCAUUAGUUCAUUGGUUUCGACACAUUAAAUUCUACUCUGUAAACCGCUAAUUUAUCAAAAAGUUUUCCUUAAAAUGGUUAAACAUGUAAACACAUGUUUUUUGCGUGUGAAAAAGGUUCACUUGGAAACUCAUAUCUUUCAUCUGGGUGGUGUUUGAUAUCUGAAAAUAAGUUUCAAUAAACACUUGAAUUAAUUUAUAUUUUACUCUAUAAACAGCUGAUUUAUCAAUAAGCUUUCCUUUAAAUGACAAAAUAUCUCAUAACAGUUUUCUUGGGAAGUAGAUUUGUUUAAGAAUUCAUGCUCCUCAUCGAUUUGUAUAUUGCAUUGAGUGAGCCACUGUUUUUCAUAUGAUUCACUCUUAAAUUCCUAAACCAGGCAUUUUAUAGCAACACUGACAAUAUAAUUAAAUUCACCAUUUUCUGAUGUUAUUUUAGGUUCAGAUUAGCAUUUCAAAAUAGCGGUUUCAUUUUUUGGAAUCUGGUUCAUUUUGUCUCUGUUCUCUAACUGGAUUUAGAUGUGCAGUUAAUCUGUUCGUAUCAAUUUAUGUAGUACAAUAUCAGAAAGCGGUUGUUUAUCAAUUUUGUCUUGUUUAUGAUAACAGUGUCGUGGGCACAUUGUAUCGUAUUUAUGUAUUCUCCAUUUAUUUGACUUAAAGAAACAGUCAAAUUAAUGAUUAUGUAUUAUAGAACUCUUUUCAAUAAGUCAUUGCUUCUUCAAUAAACUUAUUGAAAAAUGGACUAAGCCAAAAGAAGCAGCAGCAGUUUUUUUAUUAUUAUAUGAAAAUCACAUUUCACUUCCUGAAAAACACUUAAUAAAGAUAUAUAAAUAUAUGCCCUAGAAGUAUAUAAUUUUUUUCAAUAAGCCAUUGAUUUUUCAAUAAGUUUAUUAUAGGGCAAACUGAUUUAAGUGUUAUUUGCAAAUUCACUUUCUCAAUCGAUUUAUACUUUAACUAUCAGAAAUUUCAUAAGAGAUCGGUAUAUUUGAUAAUUCUUGCUCAUGGACAAGAAAAUUAUUUCUCUUUUACCCUAUAUAGUCUGAUCCGUAUAUUUCCUAUAGGAUUCAACUAACGCUAGACUAUAUAGCUAAAAUAAUAAUAUUUUACAAAUUUAUAGUAUUUGGCUUUAUAUAAGCAAUAUAUUAUUCUUCCAGUAGCGUAUAUAAGUCAUCAUAGAACUUCAUGUAACCAUUCCAUAGCUUUAAACAAUAAUUUGGUUAAAAGUCACAUAUCAUGGCUAUCAUAUCACAAAAAGCUUAGAAGAAAUAUAUUAUUUGUUGUCCUUCUCUAUAUAUUUAAAAGCAAUCGGUUUUAUGCCAAUUAUAGUGAUUUACGCCAAACUAAACCUCGGAGAAUCUUAAAGAAUAAUUAUUAAAAAAUAACAUCGAUCAAGGCAAUUUUACAAGGAAUUUUUUGGACCACGCAUUUUUUGCCAAUGACAUUAGUGCGCCUUUUAGUCACGUCAUUUAUUAAAUUUUAAAUAGACUCGUUUAAUUAAUGAGAUAAAAAAAUACAAACAAAGCAAUACUACUUUUAAUAGACUCGUUUACUUAUUAGUUUACGCAAAGAACCUUAGAAAUAUGUAUUGUAAAUUAGCUUUAAACCCAUGCUCAAGUCUUUCUUUUAUUUAUUUAUUGGCACUUCACUUUUCUAUAGUGCGUUCGUUAUUAUACAUAUAAGUUUUAACAUGUUUUCUCUCUAUUUUAGAAGUUAUUGUUUUUUUUUUUAAUUAUUAUAUUGUUAUCGUAUUCAUCAGGUCCUAAAGAAAUCUAUAGACUUAGGUAUAUUUUAAUAGAAUAUGCUAAUAUAUUUUCGAAUUGAAUUCUGUGCCUACCUAUUUUAGGUUAGCUCUUUUAUAGCGUACGGUUUAAUAUAGCGAUGUCAAAACUAUAGGUUUAUCCCUGUCCUGCCAAUUAUUCUUAUAUGAUAAGUAAACAGGGAUAGAGAAGAUGCGUUCGCUAAAACCCAAAUUGAGUUACUCAAUUGAGGCGUCAAAAAUCGUUUUAUUAGUCUUCUCUUUAGGGUUAGAUCUUGUGAUAUUAGUGAGUCGAUAAGAAAUUUUUAGUAAGAAUUAAAAUUUAAAAAAAUGCGCGUAAUUCGGUUUGGGUUUUAGUGGAUUUUCCCGGUUUCGACGUUGGCACGAUUAAACUUUCUUUUUAAAUGAAACUAUACGAUAGUCUCAAAAAAAAACAAAGCGCUCUGUACACAAACUGUUAAAACUUGAAAUAGAAAUUAGUUUAAUACUAAAAA
rnacentral:misc_RNA from 1 species